CAGUCGCCACGGUAAUACGGAGGGAGCUAGCGUUGUUCGGAAUUACUGGGCGUAAAGCGCGCGUAGGCGGUUACUCAAGUCAGAGGUGAAAGCCCGGGGCUCAACCCCGGAACUGCCUUUGAAACUAGGUGACUAGAAUCUUGGAGAGGUCAGUGGAAUUCCGAGUGUAGAGGUGAAAUUCGUAGAUAUUCGGAAGAACACCAGUGGCGAAGGCGACUGACUGGACAAGUAUUGACGCUGAGGUGCGAAAGCGUGGGGAGCAAACAGGAUUAGAGACCCCCGUAGUCCCUGUCUCUUAUAA
rnacentral:rRNA from 1 species